rnacentral:tRNA from 1 species
GACCUUUUAGUAUAGUUUAGUACUUUUAAUUUCCAAUUUUGAAGCUUCGGGUUA